AGUGAACGCUGGCGGUAGGCCUAGCACAUGCAAGUCGAACGGCAGCACAGUAAGAGCUUGCUCUUACGGGUGGCGAGUGGCGGACGGGUGAGGAAUACAUCGGAAUCUACUUUUUCGUGGGGGAUAACGUAGGGAAACUUACGCUAAUACCGCAUACGACCUACGGGUGAAAGCAGGGGAUCUUCGGACCUUGUGCGAUUGAAUGAGCCGAUGUCGGAUUAGCUAGUUGGCGGGGUAAAGGCCCACCAAGGCGACGAUCCGUAGCUGGUCUGAGAGGAUGAUCAGCCACACUGGAACUGAGACACGGUCCAGACUCCUACGGGAGGCAGCAGUGGGGAAUAUUGGACAAUGGGCGCAAGCCUGAUCCAGCCAUACCGCGUGGGUGAAGAAGGCCUUCGGGUUGUAAAGCCCUUUUGUUGGGAAAGAAAAGCAGCAGGUUAAUACCCCGCUGUUCUGACGGUACCCAAAGAAUAAGCACCGGCUAACUUCGUG
rnacentral:rRNA from 1 species